rnacentral:lncRNA from 1 species
UGUGCUUUUAUCUGUCAUCUUGGACUUCUGCAUAAGGGAUCAUUUAGAGAAAGGACUCUGACUAAAAACAAAAAGUCUGAAGUCCUGAUGUCAUCCAAACCCUUCAUUCUACACCUGCUCAGAGGGACAGGGCAGCCUGCCCUCUCCAGAUCCUCACUUGGCUCUGGCUCUGGUGGGGCCACUGUCUCUAGUUCCUCUUUCUGCGGGGUAACUGCCUGCUCCUCCAUCUCCUUGCUUUCUUCUUUCUCUGCAAACCAGAAGCAGGAAGAGACUGUGGCCCCAGGCCUGGCCCAGCCCAGCCCUGCCCUGGCACUCUCCCUUACCCGUCUCACUCUCUGGCCACAGUUUGGGUGGCUGUAGCCCCAUGUAAGUCAAAGACAGAUCCAGCCGCACCUGGGAAGCAAGGCAGAGGGAGGCUGAAAGGAGUGCACCUGUGCUGAGGGGAGGGGCGGUUGAGGGUGGCUCCUCAUGGUCCACCACCCCCUACCUGGGGUGUGAAGACGUAUUUAUAGAGCUUGAAGUGGCGGAAGUAAGUGUUGACCACGUAGUCUUCCAAGGCCAGCAGCUGUUCCUCUUUGAAGAGGUCGAUGCUGAAAGGAGGCCGCUGUGGUGGUGACUCGGAAUUAGAACCCUGACUACCUUCCGGAGCCCUGGCUUUGCCUCCAAAAGCCCAGCAACAGGAGCAAGGAGAGCCCACUGGGGUCUUCACAAGAAGAUAAGGGUGAUGAAUGUGAGAGAGACUGGGUGAGACCUUGUCUGGGGAUGGGUAAAGUUUCCAGAAUGUUCCAGGGGAACUGACCCUGACUCCAUGGCAAAAAAGGACACUGGUGAAGUAGCGGUAGCACUCCUCCACGUUGCCCAAGGGGGUUGCUGGUAGGGAAAGCAAGAUGCAGCAGUGAGGCCCUCUCUGGUAUCCAUUCAUUCACUUCACUCAACAGCUGUUUAUGACCAUGAGCUUCAGAAGCAGACAGAUCUGGGUUUCAGCACUGGCUUGUUUCCUUAACUCAUGUAACAAAUACUGAAUACCCACUAUAUGCCCACUGUAUGGUUUUCGGCACUGAACAAGACAGACAAGGUCCUGCCCUUACGAAGCUUAUAUUCUAGGGGAAUAAACCAAGAAAUAGAUCAUUUCAGCUAUUAAACAUUCUGAAGCAAGAGCUAUUAAACAUUCUAAAGCAGGUGUUAUUGUGCACUAUGCAUAUAUUUGCAUAUAUUAUUUCUCAGAACAGUCCUGUAAAAUGUGUGCUGUAUCCUUAAUUUCUAGAUAAGGAAGCAGUGGAUUGGAAAGCUGAUGGCUUGUGUAUGAUGAUGCUACUAAUAAUGACAUAUUCCAGGCAGAAAUCCCCUGCUUCUGCUUCCCAUGGUCACUUGUGCCAGGCCCGGUUCCUCUUCUCCCUGGGGCUCAAACCUGGUAGCUGCCCCCUCUCACCAAUACAAGCCUUGUGAAGAUCCUGGAGCAGGGCACAAGCCGCUGACGUCUGCUCCAGUGAGAAGCCCUGCUGGCGGCAGAAAAUGAGCGCGUGGCAGAAGAGGUCCAGGGUGAUGGCGUCCCUCAGGCUCUGCUCAGGACACCCUAGCUCCAGCAGCUCAGCCAGCACCCUUGGGAGGGAGAGAGGAGUGAGUGACAACUGGGCCUCCUUUCAUCACCCUACACCCACCACAUGCUUUGGAGUCAGCCAUUCCUCAUGUUUUCCCAACCUGACCCCUCAGCCUUUGCCAAGAGCUCUUCCCACGCCCCCCUCAGUCCCUACUCCCUCAUCUCAGCAUUGGUGGUCUUCUCCAGCUGGUGCAUGGAAUGGACGUCCAGGUACUUCCUGUUAUAGUAAAAGAAAAAGAGUAUUGGUGGCCGUUACCUAUCAUGACAAGGCUGUGACAGCUAGUGCGUGAGACUGGGAGUUGGCCACCGGCGUGAAGCUGGGCUCUUUUGCCAGCUUGCUGUGUGACUAUGCAAAUCGUUAACUCUCUGGGCCUAAAUGAACUCUUAUGAGCCUCUCCAUUUCUAAAGCCUAGGGUUAGGAAUCUUGAAUUCUUUUUUCUGCUCUGCCACUACCUUGUAUGACCUUGGUCAAGUACUCCCUGUGGCCCUCAGUGUCCCCCUCUGUACAAUACUCCUUAGCGGCCAUGAGACUCCAUUUACAUUCUGUCUUUGGCUCUUUUUUUCUCACACUGCCUCCUCUUUGGACUGGAGAGGCUGGAAAGCCAACUUCCAGUCACCUGGAGUAAUUGCAUCUCCAGGCCUCAGUCUCAUCUGUAAAAUGGGGAUGCCCUGGCCACAGACAGGACUGUUGGGGAGACAAUAAAGAACGCAAAUAUUC